rnacentral:lncRNA from 1 species
GGGUUCUAAUGAUAAACUGUGAGGAACUGUGGCUUCUAUCAUGAAUGCUGGCAUCAACAGCCAUCCAGGGUGAUCUUACCAAUAUUGAUUGGUUGGUUGACAUCAUUUAGCUUUUACAAAGGGAUAUUUACUGAUAAGAUAGACAAGGACAAAUGUUACUAAAAUAUAUACCUCAUGCUAAGGAUGAACACUCCCAGUGUACACAAGUUCCCAGUGGAGAGUGGGCUCAAAUUCACAGAAGAAAGAGAGUGAGGGACUACAAAGCAGCUCCUGAAAGCCCUGCUGAACUUUCUUUGGGCACCUCCCAGGCAGCCUGGCUGUGGCAGACCCCAUAAAACAGCCAGCCAUGGAGAGUGGGCGUCAUCGAUCUUGUCUGGUGAUAGCUGGAUGGUGCCAAGCACCAUGCUCUCCAUGAAUCUUGUGCUCAAUAAAUGUCAUUGAUUGAUGUAUGUGCUUCA